rnacentral:sRNA from 19 species
UGCGAUGGCCCGGUCCUUUCGGUGCCGGAUCCUCAGCCCCCAGCCCCCCGGGGCCAUCAGGAUCGGGCCUAUUC